AUUUAUUUUAAACUGUGCAUCUAGUUCAUAAACAAAUCAAGUCUAGAAGUUGGACGUCCACUGAAUUAAGUAUCAGAGGAAAUAGAUUUGCCCCAAAUUUAUUCGGAGUUUCAGCUGCUGGAUUUGACUUUCCUGUUUGUGCAUGUAUGAUCCACACGUCAAAAAGGAGGAGAAGAAGCAAGAGUCACAUGUCAUUGCUUCAACCAUAUCGAAGUUUAAACUCUCAUCUACAAAGUGCUAAUCCUGUACAUUACACCAAAUCCUACGGCUAAACAAAAAAUAUUCAGGAAUAAAGAAUACAAAUAAAUCAAACCACACCUGCUACAUCACAAUUUUAUUCAACCCAUUAGAUUCACAUUAGCGUGAGAGAAAAAAAAUGCAAGCUUUUAUGAUCCUUUUGUUAAAAAAAUAAUUGCAAAAGGCAAGCCUCAAGCUGAAGCUUA
rnacentral:misc_RNA from 1 species